UUUAACUGAAGAGUUUGAUCAUGGCUCAGAUUGAACGCUGGCGGCAGGCUUAACACAUGCAAGUCGAGCGGGGGAAGGUAGCUUGCUACUGGACCUAGCGGCGGACGGGUGAGUAAUGCUUAGGAAUCUGCCU
rnacentral:rRNA from 1 species